rnacentral:tRNA from 1 species
UGGGGCAUAGCCAAGUGGUAAGGCAGGAGAUUCUGACUCUCCCAUUCGUGGGUUCAAAUCCUACUGCCCCAGCCA